AACGCCACACGCCUUCGGUCAGUCCGUGUCUUCGAAUGAUUUUGGAUUUUUUUAUUUAUUUAUUGAAGUAACUUAUCGGACGCUGGAAGACUCACUCACUGCUGCCUCAGUCCGCGUCCCCGACGGUUCCCGUCAAAUAAAUCGAGUUAAAGCGAUGUCGUUUUUGUGUGAUUGUAAUUUGAAAGCCACAUUUUAAAUCGAACGAGUUGUGCAAGAACUUUUCAAUUGUAAUUAAUGGCCUACUGUUACCCCCCAAAGACAUAAAAACAGGGCUCCCACGCAUUUGCUAGAGUCCUAUUUGUGAAAAAAAUGUGAAAUAUAACUUAAAGGAGUUUGUGUAGAAAGCAAACUUUACAUAAACCCCAUACUAAGAGGAAAAAUGCAAGAAAGGGUGGACAGAAGAAAGAAGAAAUUAAAUGAGGAAUUAAGGGGAGAAGGAAGAUGAAAAAGAUACAAAGGACAGAAGGAAAUAAGUGCACAAAAGAGAGAAGGAAAGAAAGGACACAAAGGAGGGAAGGGAUUAAGGAAGAACAUGAAAGAAGGAAACAAGAAAUUAACUAGAAUGAGAACAGAACGAUUAAGGAGAAAAUUACAAAAGAUAAUGAGAAAGAUAUGAAGGAAACACAGACGGGAAGAAGGAAUUACUUAAGGAAGAGAAGGAAGGAAUAACCCAAGGGAGGGAGGAUGGAUUGGAGAAAAAGAAAAGACAGAUCAAUCAGUGGAAGAUAAAAAUGACAUGCUCUAAACUCAUGCCAAAAACUAGUAAACUGCAUGUUUAUUUGUUUGCUUUUAUCUCGUUUCUUAUACAAACUAACUGCCUGUGUGUCUCCAAAGUGCCCGGUCCCCAACACGCCGCUUCGUUCUGGAUGUUUCCAUGACUCUAGGAAUUGAACGGCGUUAUCGCAGCUUCCUGAUACAAACAACACACAGGAGGCUUCGCCGAGCGCCGCGUUAGCGAGCAGAGGAGGAGGAGAAGGCAGGAGGUUUGAUGUGAACCCGCUGUGAACCCUGGUGAUAAUGAAUUAAAGAUCAAGCGCAGAGCUCAGAGAGGGGGAAAAAAAAAA